AACGAACGCUGGCGGCAGGCCUAACACAUGCAAGUCGAGCGCCUCGCAAGAGGAGCGGCAGACGGGUGAGUAACGCGUGGGAAACUACCCUUUGGUACGGAACAACUCGGCGAAAGCUGAGCUAAUACCGUAUGUGUCCUUCGGGAGAAAGAUUUAUCGCCAAAGGAUGUGCCCGCGUCGGAUUAGCUAGUUGGUGGGGUAACGGCCCACCAAGGCGACGAUCCGUAGCUGGUCUGAGAGGAUGAUCAGCCACACUGGGACUGAGACACGGCCCAGACUCCUACGGGAGGCAGCAGUGGGGAAUAUUGGACAAUGGGGGCAACCCUGAUCCAGCCAUGCCGCGUGAGUGAUGAAGGCCUUAGGGUUGUAAAGCUCUUUCGCCCGCGAAGAUAAUGACUGUAGCGGGAGAAGAAGCCCCGGCUAACUCGUG
rnacentral:rRNA from 1 species